rnacentral:rRNA from 1 species
GACGAACGCUGGCGGCGUGCUUAACACAUGCAAGUCGAACGGUAAGGCCCUUCGGGGUACACGAGUGGCGAACGGGUGAGUAACACGUGGGUGAUCUGCCCUGCACUUCGGGAUAAGCCUGGGAAACUGGGUCUAAUACCGGAUAGGACCCUGGGAUGCAUGUCCUGGGGUGGAAAGCUUUUGCGGUGUGGGAUGGGCCCGCGGCCUAUCAGCUUGUUGGUGGGGUGAUGGCCUACCAAGGCGACGACGGGUAGCCGGCCUGAGAGGGUGACCGGCCACACUGGGACUGAGAUACGGCCCAGACUCCUACGGGAGGCAGCAGUGGGGAAUAUUGCACAAUGGGCGCAAGCCUGAUGCAGCGACGCCGCGUGAGGGAUGACGGCCUUCGGGUUGUAAACCUCUUUCAGCACAGACGAAGCGCAAGUGACGGUAUGUGCAGAAGAAGGACCGGCCAACUACGUGCCAGCCGCCGCGGUAA